rnacentral:lncRNA from 1 species
AGGACACAUUUAUUCGGAACUAUGAACCGAACCAUACCAAGCUGAAGAAAACAAAAUCAAAAGUGAAAGAAAUUUCAUAAAUAACCGAACAUAUCAUAUAUCUGUGGAACCAAAAUAUUGAAACCGAUCUGGGAGCCUAAAGGGUACCUGAAUUUAAAUAUAUAGAUUAUAUAAUUACAAAUAUCAAACAUAUUCAAUUUUUAAAUAACUGAAUAUCAUAAAAAUACUAUUUAAAACCCUAAUUACCGGUCAAAAAUUACCGAAUAUAUUUUUAUUCAAAAUAUUAAAAAAUAUUUGAAUUAUCUGAUAUUUUUAUCUUAACAAUCUGAAUUAUACGAUAUUUAAACUGAAAGACCUAAAUUAUAUAUUUUUGUUUUUGCAUAUUUGCCACUUCUCAACUUUGCUACUGAACUAAACCAAAAAAAAACUCAAUUGAAACCAAACCAAAUUUUGUAAAUAAUUGAACAGUUUCUAAAUUUGUAGAACUAAAAUACCAAAACCAAAAUACCGAACCAAAAAAUAACAAAAACCAAAAUACCAAACUGAAACAGAAUGCUCAGAAAUGAUAGUGUAUAUACAUUUAAAUGGUGCGAAGAAGGCAUUUUACUUUUAAAAAUUAUUUAACUCCUUUUAGUAGAAGUACAUAUAUGGUUUAUAAAUGAGAUAAGAUAUAACCAAUGUUUUACAUUCGAUAUGGACUCGCAGUCGAACCGCAAAAUCCAGUUGCCGUAUAUAAUUACGACUGAAUUAUGUUCUUCAUGUAGUAUUCUAUCAAAGAUUCUACCAACUAAUAUGUUUUCAUAAAAUUCUGAUUUAUUGAAAAGCUAUUAAUUAAAAAUUCAAUAAGACCCAAAACCCCGUUAUUAACCUGUGAACCAACACCGGCUCA